rnacentral:rRNA from 1 species
AACGAACGCUGGCGGCAUGCCUAACACAUGCAAGUCGAACGAGACCUUCGGGUCUAGUGGCGCACGGGUGCGUAACGCGUGGGAAGCUGCCCUUAGGUUCCGAAUAACUCUCCUAAGGGGGUGCUAAUACCGGAUAAUGUCUGCUGACCAAAGAUGUAUCGCGUUUGGAUGAGCCCGCGUUGGUUUAGCGUGGUGGUAGGGUAAAAGCCUAUCAAGGCGAGGAUACCUAGCUGGUCUGAGAGGAUGAUCAGCCACACUGGGACUGGGAAACGGCCCAGAAUCCUACGGGAGGGGGGAGUGGGGAAUAUAGGAAAAUGGGGGAAGGCAUGAUCCCGCAAUGCCGGGAGAGUGAUGAAGGCCUUAGGGUUGUGAAGCUCUUUUACACGGGAUGAUAAUGACAGUACCGGGAGAAUAAGCACCGGCUAACUCCGUG